ACUAAAAUAUUUAAAAUGCCCCAGACAGGCAAAUUGGCCCUCUCCCCUAGAACUCUCGCUCUCACUCUCACUCGCAGUCCCUCUAGUUUCUCUCUCUAGAAACCCUAGUGCUUCUGGAUCCCAACCCUAGUGCUUUUGACCUAUUGUGCGCCGGCGAUAGGCCUUCGGAUCGCCGUCGAUCUCAGCAACGAGAUCGCUGUCAAAGUGACGAAAUCUCUCUCUCUCUCUCUCUCUCUCUCUUCAUCCCCAGCGUCGCCGCUUCUCAAAGAUUUUUCAACCUCUCCGUAGUCGCCGUCGCCAUCGCCAUACUCAUUGUCGAACCGCCGGCAUCCCAGAUGUGUCAAUUUCGGUGGUCUAUCUGAGGAGGAGCUGAGGUCUGAUCCAGCAUCUCAAAGAUCUAGCAUUUCGGUCGCCGGCGUCACCUCUCAGUACAAACUGGUUUGGCAGUAGCUGUAGCAGAUACUCAGUGAACCCUCAAAUGGCCUCUGAAAGCAAAUCCAAGUCCAGCAACAAUACCAAUACCAAUAAGAACACCACAAAGAGGAAGCAAAGAUAUUUCCCUUUCAACACAAGUGUAGUGCCGGGAUUCUUCAUCACCUGUGAUGGUGGGAGGGAACGCCAAGCCUUUCAUGAAUCCAUUAUUGUUAUCAACUCUGACGAAUAGGGACAGCGCUGGAUUUUCAAAACAGAGGUUAUUUCAUGGCCUAAACAAGGGAAGAUGUGGUAUGCAGAUGGCAGGAUACAGGCACCCAACUCAGCUGGCCCAAGGUUAUGACCAAUGUGAGAUUAUCAACUCUCUGAUUAUGGGUUGCCUUAUUCAUUUGAUGGUACCAGACAUUGGCGAAGGCUACUUAUCUAUGGAGACUGCCCAAGAUGUUUGGGAUGCUGUGGCUACCACCUAUUCUCUCGCAAAGGGAAUGAGUUACGCCACUCGAUUGACAGCUUUGUUCAGGGGGAGUAGACGGUUCUUCAGUACUUCACCUUCCUCACCAAUGAUUGGAAACACCUUGAUCACCUGCAGGACUAUAAGCUUGUUUGCACUGCUGAUUCAGUCGGGUAUCGGAAGUUCAUUGCACAGAAAAGGGUCUUCAAGUUUCUAGCCGAUCUUAAUGUGGAGUGUGAUCCGCUUCGGAGUCUGGUUUUGAGUAUAGACAACUUUCCUUCACUUCAAGAGGCAUUUGCCUAUGUACAGAAUGAGGAGAGUCGCCAAUCUGCUGUGAUGUCCCCUAUCUCUACCGAUCGCUCAGCAUUACUGUCUACCUCUAGAGAUGGCUUCAGCCUGACUCCCAUUCCUCUGUUUGUCACCAAAGAGUUUGUUUUCUGUGAUUACUGUAAGAAGCCGUGGCAUACUCAUGAGAUGUGUUAGAAGCUUCAUGGGACUCCGUCUGGGGGUCGAGGUGAUCGGUCUGGUUCUAGAGGAGGUCGGUCAGGCCAGUCUAGAGGACGUGGCUCUUAUCCAUGGGCUCAUCAGUCUGGUGAUGUUGAUACACUUGAUUCUACUUCUGCUUCCGUUGGCCAGGCUUCUGAUGGUCUCUCUGGCAUGACUACUCAUGAUCUUGACGAUGUUUUGCGUCACUUGGUGGACCGCCGGUCUUCUACUGCUCUCAGCACAUCUUACGCGUCGUUUGCCUGCUCAGGACCUUGUCACGAGGAGAACGAUUGGCAGUGGUAGUGCAGAAAAUGGUCUCUACUUCCUGGAUCAACCGGACAAGCUUGCUCAUUCUUCUACACAAGUCCAACUACCACCGAUAAUAUAUGGCUGUGGCAUCAUCGUCUUGGGCAUCCUUAUUUUUAUUUACUUGAGCACUUAUUUCCAUCUAUUUUAAAAAAUAAUAAUGUGUCUAAAUUUCUUUGUGAGUCUUGUCAACUUGGAAAACAACACUGAAGCAUUUAUUUUUUUAAAGAGCAGAGGGAAGUUGUGGUAUGUAGAUGGCAGGAUAUAGGCACUCAACUCAAGUGGCCCAGGUUAUAACCAAUGAGAGAUUAUCAACUCUUUGAUUAUGGGUUGGCUUAUUCAUUCGAUGAUACCAGACAUUGGCAAGGGCUACUUAUCUAUGGGGCCACUGUCAAAAUAUUAUGUUCUGAUAAUGGGGGUGAAUACAUAGAUUCUGGGUUAGGGUAAUAUUUUUCUACUCAUGGCAUUAUCCAUCAGACCUCUCGCACCAAUACCCCUCAACAAAAUGAGUGGCGGAACGCAGGAAUCGCCAUCUUCUUGACAUGGUUCGGUGCAUGUGUUUUUCUAUGAAUAUGCCUCGAUUUUACUGGGGCGACGUUCUCACUGUUUAUUAAUCGUCUUUCUCACCGUUGACAUCCUUUUCAAGUCCUCCUAGGUUCCCAGUCCUUGUUUUUUAUUCCUCCCAAAAUAUUUGGUUGUGUUUGUUUUGUCUAUAAGCACUCUCCUACUCGUGUUGGACCCUCGUUCCCUCAAAUGUGUUUUCCUUGGGUACUCUCCUACUCAAAAAGAAAAUAUGUGUUAACACCUUCCUUCUCGUAAGUGGUUUGUGUCCAUGGAUGUCACAUUCUUUGAGUCCCAGUCAUCCCUUCAGGGGGUCCCUUGGUGUGUAGUGAUUUCUGUGAUUCCUAUGGUGGAAUCAAUUGUUCUUGCACUACCACCUCCUAUUGGGACUACAGAACCCAAUGUCACCAAGGGUAGGGACGAGCAAGUUUAUGUUUGGGACAAAGACAAACAAAAAGUUAACUGGAUACAAGAGACCACUUCUGCUCUUCCACUGCCAUCUCCUGCUUAUAAUGACAAUCCAAGUUAGAUUGGCCGCUUCGUCAAUUUGAUGUAAAGAAUGCUUUUCUCCAUGAUGACCUUGAAGAAGAGGUAUAUAUGGACAUUCCUCCUGGUUUUGAGGAUCAUUAGACAGAAGGCAAGGUAUGUAGGCUUCAGAAGUCAUUAUAUGGUCUCAAACAAUGUCCAAGGGCUUGGUUUGAGAGAUUCACUCAGGCUAUGGCUUCAAACAGAGUCAGGUAGAUCACACGUUGUUUGCGAAACAUCCUCACUUGGUAAGACUACAACACUCAUUGUUUAUGUAGAUGUCAUAGUUCUUACGGGCGAUGAUGGUGGGAAAAUUCCUCUGUUAAUGAAAUAUUUAGCCAGUGAGUUUGAAAUUAAAGAUUUGGAGAGCUUGUAGUAUUUUCUGGGAAUUGAAGUUGCUCGUUCUAAGGAUGGGAUGUUUAUCUCACAGAAGAAGUAUGUGCUUGAUCUGUUGAAGGAAACUAGAAUGCUUGGUUGCAAGGCCUGUGACACUCUACUAGAACCCAAUCAGAAACUAGGGGAUGAUGAAGGAGGAGCAGCUGUUGACAGGGAGAGCUAUCAGUGAUUAGUGGGUAAACUCAUUUACCUAUCUCACUCCCGUCUUGAUAUUGUUGUUGCUGUCAGUGUGGUUAGCCAGUUUAUGCAUGCUCCUCAUCAGAUUUACUUAGAGGUUGUCAUGAGAAUUUUGAGGUACUUGAAGUCUGCUCCUGGUAAGGGUCUUUAUUUUUCAAAGUAUGAUCAUCUUCGUGUGGAAGCCUAUACAGAUACUGACUGGACUGGAUCAGUGACUGAUAGAAGAUCGACUUUAGGGUAUUGCACCUUUGUUGGAGGCAACCUAGUUACUUGAAGGAGUAAGAAACAGAAUGUGGUUGCUAGGUCAAGUGCAGAAGCUGAGUUUAGAGCUAUGGCACAAGAAGUGUGUGAGCUCUUAUGGAUCAAGUUAUUGUUGAGUGAUCUAGGUAUUGGUCAGAUGGACUCCAUGCGGUUAUACUGUGAUAAUAAGGCUGCUAUCAAUAUCGCUCACAAUCCGAUUUAACAUGACAGAACAAAGCAUGUUGAGAUUGAAUGCCACUUCAUUAAGGAGAAGCUCACUAGUGGCACAAUAUGUACUCCGUUUGUGCAGUCUGGUGAACAACUUGCUGACAUCCUCACUAAGGGAGUUGGGAGUAAGCCAUUUCAUGACAUCUUAGGCAAGCUAGGCAAUUUCUAGGCCAUCCACUUUGUUUGAGAUGAUUAGAGAUUAUGAACAAGCAACAAUGGAUCUUCAAAGACUAGUGUCUCUUCUCAUGAAGCAAGUGGAGGAUAAGGCCAAUCAGUCUGGUGCAUCUGAUAGAAUGAGCAGUGUGAAUGAGUUAAGACAAGCUGAACAAUGGUUUCUAUAAUGGAAGAAGCGAGAAAGGAAAUUCACUUGAAUAUGUACCUCAUUUUAUUGCCUUGAGAACGAUUGUCUUCUUCUUCUAGGAUGGAGGUCACCUGCAGUGAUUGUGUCCUAUGCUUGCCCAGUAGGACCAACACUAACCAUCCUAGCUCUCUGAAUUUCUUGGGUCUCGUAACCUGUGUCAUGAUACUGCUAGAUAUUUUGGCGACUUUUCUGUAUGUAUACAAUUAGAGUCACGGUAUGAUCUAGAAGAGGAGAUGUGUAAUGCUCAAAGAGAGGCAGUGGAGGCAGCUCAUCAAAAAUGCAUACAGAUGCCCAGAAUUAUCCAUUUGAGAAAAGCAGCAGCAAUAGGCAGCAAUGGUGAGAGGUCUGGAGAUCACAUGGACAUUCCCAACCCAACCUAGAGGCUCAGAAACAACUCGACGGAGCAGAUUCUCAUGAUAACUGUUGGCUAGGUCUCCCAGAAAAAUCUUGGCGAUUUCAGAUCAUAACCAUCUGAUUGAUGCCUAGUUGGAUGAUUAUUUUGGCCAAUAAGCUACAUUUCAUGUUUAGCUUCUGUGAGAGGUUCAGCUUAUGGACAAGGACUUCAUGCCGCUCUUCAAGAAUAGAUCGUGUGCACAUAGAUGGAGGUUUGAGAGUGAGGAUUCUAGUGACUGAAAAAACAUCAUUUUUGAAACGUUUAAAAAAAAAUGAAAAAAGAAAGAAAAAAAGAAGAGAGGUCAAUGUAAAAUAGAUUCACAUGAGAGAGGGAGAGGAGGAGCUCUGCGUAUGGAUUGGCAAUGUGUACAGAGAAACAAUGAAUGUGUGGAUGCAACUGACAAGAGUAUGUUAUAUGUACCAGCAAUGUGUACAUGAAUUCAUCGCAUUGAGAAAGAUUGGUGGCCUUGACUGUUUGACUAAUUUCAGUUGGGACGUUCCUAAUGACAAAAGAAUGCAUUUUUCCCAGAGAGGCCUGCCUGGAAGCACUUUGUCCAAACAGAACUUGUGUUUUGUCUCUUUUUCUUGGCAUAAUUUCUUUUUCUUUUUUUUUCCUCUUUUCUUCUUUGGUUUCUCGGAGAGUAUGAAAUGUUGUUAGUAUAAGGUCACUGUUUGUGUUGUUUGUCUGGAAGUCUAGAAAAUUAACAAAGACAAGAUGACAAAAUUUGUAUUACAUUGUGUUGUCCAACAAUUUGUGGGUUGAAGCAUUUGGUUGUGUUUC